AUUACUAAAGUACAUCCUGUAUGUGCUUUCCUAUUAUCUAAAUGACUUUGAGGAAUGGAAGAUGGUGGAAUCCCACAUUUCAUACUUAAGCAAAACACCUGUUAAGUGUAGUUCCUUUUGCUGCUGGACCAUUGCCAAACAGAACUGUGUUUGAGACAAUACUUUUAUUCUAAUAAUUACAAAAUGCCGAGGUGACUUCCUGUGUAGCCAGUCUGCAGCUGUAGGAGAAGACUCUAAUAUUUUCCAUUCUUUUCCUUGAAACCCUGCAGUCUAUACCUCCCAAACUUGCAAGACUCACCCACCUGGGAGCUAACUUGCCUUCACCAACCCGGCGCCAACCUGAUGGUUUAGACUACAAUGCCAUCCACUGCAGCUGGCCUGGCCAUUGGCAGAGGGCACCAAGUGGCUGAAGUCUGGUCUGGAUAAAGGAUUAUCCCAGUUACAAUUGAUCUCCCAGGUUUCUGUAUUUUCCCAGGUACAAAUUAUUUUGCUUUGC